UUUGAGGUCUAUCCCGAUGGGACCUUUUCUGUAGGUCCAUAUCGUUGGAAACGCCUCAGACAGCAAAUGUGUAGUUUCGCUUUACCCACUUAUCUAUUUAUCAGGUCUGUGGGGAUAAAACUACAAGACAAAG